rnacentral:rRNA from 1 species
UACAGAGGUCUCGAGCGUUGUCCGGAAUCAUUGGGCGUAAAGAGCGUGUAGGCGGCUCGAUAAGUCUGCUGUGAAAGUCCAGGGCUCAACCCUGGAAGGCCGGUGGAAACUGUCGGGCUAGAGUCCGGAAGAGGCGAGUGGAAUUCCCGGUGUAGCGGUGAAAUGCGCAGAUAUCAGGAGGAACACCAAUGGCGAAAGGCAGCACUCUGGGACGUGAACUGACGCUGAGACGCGAAAGCGUGGGGAGCAAACAGG